CUCUCUCUUUCUGUCAAUUCUAUCCGGAAGCACGAGGGCUCUUGCAUAUUUACCCUUCGUCCGUGCCCUUACCCUUAGCCUUUGGCAAAUGGACCGUUUUAUUCAGAGAGCAUCCCGUCGGUCCUUCACCUUCGAUUUACCCCUUGCGCCCUUUGUCUUUCCCAAUUGACGCGAUGCCUCCCCAACGAUACUUCCAGGAGUAUACUUGACUGAAAUACGUCCAAAGACGACGGACUAGAGAUUUCUUUCCUUUCUUUUCUCGCGAAUUAAGCGUCGCCGUCACGUUCCGCUGUGCAACGCGAGCCUUUGUACAGGAUGCUGACGAUCUCGUAAAAUUAUGCUCCAGUGCAACUCACAUAGUACUGUUCGUGACUGCCUUGUGAACGACGUUUUGUCGAUUUUCUGGCGUCUCACCAUAGUUCAAUAAUCGUUAUUUACCAAUACGUAUUGGAAAAUAACAUUAAUGCGACAAAUAAAUCGGAGAAUGUCCAUUAUACCGUUUUCGUAGAUUGGCUAUGUUUAUGUCAUAAUAAAGAUUGUUAUACCGUGUCCGUUUUAAAGUUGUGUGUAUAAUUAAAUUAGUUGUCGUAUGAGUAUUGACCAAAUCGUAGCCAGCAAUUUCUAGAAUUUAUAUCCGACGAUAUCGUACCGCGGUGAUAUUUGCACUUUUAAUUAAACGUCAUGUCUGAUUUUCAGAGUGCUAUUAGUUAGCCGCUCAUAAAUUUUCCAGCGGAAAAGUGAAUGGCACCUGCAAAGCGCCGGGAAAAUUCGCUGUUUUAUUUUUUUUUCCAGCUGCCGCGCAUUUUAACGGCAGAAAGUGCAAUACGAACGCGCCAUAAUAAUAAACCACUCGGAACACUCGGUUGAUAUCAUUGCCUGCAUAAAUGUUGCGCGCUUGCGCCAUUAGCAUCCUUUAUCUCUGACAACUAAAUUCCCCGGGACAUUUAUUGUCAGUACUUACGGUUAACGCACUCGUAUAUGGGCAGUACGAGGUAUCUUUUAAGCUAAUACUAAUUAAGCGUCGUCACUCAUCUCUAUUAAGGCACCAUAUAGAUACCCUACUUACGUUGCUACGUAUACACUAACAUAUAAUUUUGCGGCAUUACCACGCGGCUCAUCCGAUUUUCGUUGUGCCUAAUCGCCCGGACUUACUGAAUUUAAGGAACCAUUUAUAACAAAAUCGUGAUGCAAUUUUCUGCUUUAAUAAACGUCCUUUAAUAUAACGUGACGAUCAUACUAAUUUUAAGCUGAAGUUAAUGUUUGUCUCAUAACUUUAACUUUAAACAUGCCAUUUAUUAUUAUUAUUUAAAAAGCAUAUUAAUUUACGUAGCCGCUUAAUUUUAUUACGAGCAUUCUAUUGGCGGCACAGAUAUGAUUAUAGAAUUAUCAUUAUUUAUUGUUUGUUUAUGUUUCAGUAUUGAUUUUUCACUCAUUGUUCUUAUUAUUGAGAUUUAUUUUUAUAAAAGGUUGUUUAUCUCGUAUCUUUGUGUUACUUACAUCUGUGAAUUUGAAUUAUACUAAUAAUUUUAUAUGUUAAAUAAAAAAGAUAUUGCAUAAUACGUAUAAACUGAUUCAAGUAAUCAAAAGCUGAACAUAAAUUUAUAAUUAUCAAAAAUCUAUAUUAUAAAAGAUAUAAUUUGUCUUCUUAACAUUUUACUCAUAUACACUUGGAAAAAAUUGGAAAAGAAUAGUAUUUAAAACUAUUUUAUUUCAUAAAUGUCUAUAAAUAGAUCUCUUUGAUAUAUAUAUAUUAGCUUUGCCAAAUAUGAGGCUUUGUCGCAAUGAAAAAUUAACUUCUCAAAAAUAUAAAUAUUUGUGACUCUUUUUAAUGAAAAGUUCUUAAUUGUGUGAAUCUCUUUUAAUCUGUUUAAUAUAUGUGAGACCGUCUGUGGAUUUUAUCGCGUAAUAACAAGAGAACUCUAGUUGCCACGUCAGCAACGUUGUGUCGGAAUAUUAUCGGUGCUAUCAAUAAUUAUAGAAAAUUUCGAUGUUCGCCGCGGGGCAACUCCGUGGCACGAGAUGCGCGUUACGACAUACGAGAAACGUUGCGUUACGCCCCUCUUCUCCGAAAACACGAUACCGUGCGAUAAGAUCCUCUUUUUGGCGGCUCUUACAAUGUAUUUCUUCGUCCUGUCAGGAUUGGGAAGUGACGGAGUCGUGCCAGGUUUCGGCGCUUGAUGGCCGUUGUGGUGCAAUCAGCCCAAAUAAGGUAGAUGUGCGCGGAAGAGAGACGGAAAGGAAGACGAGAACGAGAUGGAGGAAGGAGAAGUGAAUUGAUGGGAAGGGAAACGAGGGUCAUGGAAUGGACACUUAAUACGGAAUAACUCGUGAUUCCGACGAUGACUGUCGGAAAUCGGCAUGGCCGAGAGAUCUCCCGGCGGUGUAAUUGCCACAGAAAUUGACACAGGUUCGCGGCGUAGACGGGCUCAUUUAUAUUUUUUAAUCAAAGCGAGGGUUUGCAUUCGCGACAUUAUUAUUUACUUUUUGCUUGGUUAUCAUCCAUCGAUGUUAUUUUGCAGCGUUGCGUAUCUUUAACGAGCGAUGACUUUCUCUCUUUCUUUCUCUCUCUCCCUCCUAUCCACGGUCCCUCUAUCUCCCUCGCUAGAUAUCGGCGUAACGCGAUAAAUCAUCGAAUAUUAUCUAUGCGAACAGUUUGUAGCCGGCUGGGGGUCGUACCGCCAAAAAGUAUCGCAAGAACGUAAUAGACUUUCGGAACAAGAAGUCGAUUUGCCGGCAAUUGUCGCGUUGCCGUUGAUGUACGCGUAAUUAAUCUUAAACUGACGACCAUACUUUUGCCAGGGCCAGCUCGUUAUUAUUUCUGACGAGUGGUUCAUUAAUUUACGUACAGAUAAUUAUAUGUAAACGAGAAAAAUUUGAAUAUUUUUAAUUCGUGUAAAUGUAUCCGAUCCGCAAUUUUCGACACGUUGAUGUAUCUUUUCCUUUUGCGCUUCGGGAGCAACCGCAAUUAUUAUCGAAAUAUUACCUGAUUCCGUCGGGAUGAGAAAUAUAUUCUUUUUCCCGAUUAAGAAUUAGCCGGUGUCGUGAAGUGCGCUCGACAAAAAAAAUUACUUAUCGCGCCGCGGCGAUAUCCGGCGAAUUUAUUUUGGAAUCACACUAACUGUCAAGAAGGACUGUCGUUCCGAGCGAUAGGCCCGGACGGUCAGUGAGGUAAUUUGCUCGUUUUAUCUGCCGGCCAGCGUUCCUCCUUUUUGAUGCCGAUGCGAGGGAAACUACUCACUUAAGAUAGGAUAUCUACCUCGUACAACCGAAUCGACAACUUCUAUCGCGACCGAACGCUACAUUGGCUCGUCAUGAGCAAGCACGUCAUCGUUCUAAUUAAUUCCAACGCCCCACGUUCGAUUGAUCAAGAUAUAGUGGAUGGUGCAAUUAGCGGCUCUUCCUUCGAGGGCUGAUUGAUGCACCGGCGCCUCCGCUUGUUCGUCCGUCGAGGAGGAUGUAAAAAAGGUGAAACCGGUAAGGCGCGUACUUGAGCAUUUUUACGACGCCUAAAACGGUGCUCCGCUCGAUCAUAGUAAUUCGCCAUGUGGAAGAAAUAACGUACGUCAUAUAUGUAUAUAUUGUUGCGCACAAUAGCUUACGUAAGAAAAAAAAAAACAAAAAAAAAACAUAAAUUUGUGGCGAUUAUAUCGUUGCAUGCAUUGACAUCCGAAUCAGCUCAACAGAAUAGACUUAUGUAUUUUCUAUAUUCCUUUGUAAUAAUUUCUUUUUGUAUUAAUCAUAUAUUUCAUGAUUGUAUUUUCUUUGUAACAUAAUUUGAAACGUUUAACGACUCGAGACAAAAGAGACAAACAAUAGCAGCAAACUGGUUCUCCUUCGAUACUGUACUUGUUAUUAAGAAUUAAAAAUUAAGAAUUUAUUUUUUAAGAAGAAUCUCGAAGGAGAAAAGUAUAGAGAACCGAUAUGGAAUAACGAACGGACGAGAGAUUUGACCGACGGACACCGGCGAGUAAAGACGUGUAUUUAAAAGCAAGAAUAAAAGACACUUUAUUAAAUCGGAUUUUAUUCUUUUCGACACCGUCCAGUGUUCGAUCCGACAUAUAUUCCCAAAAAAUUAAAAUUAAAAAACGAUAAAUUAAAAUGAUUAGACGCUAGACAAAACAAAAUAUCGAGCAUCAUGAGAAAGAUUUAAAUUUCUUAGCAACCUUCUUAUCAAAUUUCUUAUCGACCGUCGUCGAAAAGAAGUUGUUUACAAGAAAGAAAGAAUCUAAUCGUUUAUCUACUAUAUCACAAUUAAUAAUUACUAAGCAGAUUCAUAUUUAUGCGCAGGGCAAAUACAGCAGCAUGAGACUCGUUCACACGCGGAGAACUGCUCAGCACACAAAUCUUUUUGAUAAACUGACAAGUGGUGGAUCAUAUUCAUUCGUGCUCAGACGAGGAGCUGCCCACACGUUAAGCCGCAUACCAAAAUGACUAGAGCAUUUCUGCGCGCAAACCACACAUUCGUGCGCACGAAAAUGCGCGAUUCAGCAUAUGAAUACGUAUAUCAAGGAGAUACGAAGCUGAGAAGCGAGUUAUUUCUUACUAAGAACGGAAGUACUGAGCUGCUUGAGAAGCAUGAUCUUAUCGUAUAUUGUGUCUCUUCCUGACGGUGCUGACCGCAUCGAGGCUUCUGGAUCACGGACGAGCGAGAAGCACAUGAGCAUCGAUCUCGCGUCGUAAAAACCCUCGGAUCAACUACGUAGCAAUUCGAAUUAUUUUGGAUGUACGAGCGGGCAACAUCAGCGAUUUGUCGCAGGUGCGCCGGGCAUUUCAUUCCGACGCGCACGUGGCGUCUCUUAAUUCGAACUCGCGACGACUAAAAACAAACGUGAUACGGCGCUUAUGAAUAAAGCGGGGAAACUUCUCUACGAGAGAGAGAAACGAGCGGGACCCACGUUUUUGUCGUCACGAGAAAACUCGACGAAAUAUUUCAGGAUAAUGGAGAUGUAAUUAUAAAAAACAUCCGAACAGCUCUCUAAAAAAAAAAAAA